CGGUCACCUCUCUCAUCUGUCGUUGGCAAAUCAAUGCUGUUUGUCCCCAGCUAAUUAACUCGCUUUCGUGUGGAAGACUUAAUCCCUCGGGCAGUCCCUAGGAUCUAGUUGACAGUUGAUUUCUAGGGCGCCACUGGUGCAGAGCGGGUAUGGGACUGAAUGCGGCUCUCCCUGCCGCCGGCGCGCUCGCUCGCUUGCUUGCUCUCUCGCUCGCUCUCUGAGUAGGGAUUUGUAGGCCGUCUCGGAGUCAUACUUUUACAGACAAAUCCUAAGAACAGGAUGCUCCAGUUGAUUGACUUUUAAAGGUUCGUCCCUAGCUUUGCUGACAGACAUGGGCUCAAACUACCCUCUCUACUGCUAGAAUUUUCUGCGCGGCUAAAAUGAUAAGUAUGAAAUAAAAGUGGCCUUAUUUUAAGAAUGUAGAGAGAAACUCCAUGGCCUCCAGGGUCUGGCAUUCUCUGGCCCACACGUGGUGUGGGGGCAUACAUAUUGCUUAGGUUUGGGGUGGAGCCUAAGGGGUAUUACUGAUGCACUGAAAUGGAAUUCAUUUCCCGCCACAGGUAGGGUUUAGGGGCGGGGAAGAUGACUUCAAGAUAGAGCCUCUUGGUUCCGCCUCCCAGCCUCCCACCGCUGCGGCUUCCCAUCCAGGGCACAAAAUCCUUUAAUCUAUCACUGAAUAACUCCCUGUACAGAGACUCUUCACUUGCUCCUGGCCUCUAUUUCUUUCUUUGUUUGAGAGGCAAGAUGUUCGCCAACUCUAUCUAUUCCAUGAAAGAGCCUAUUGUACCUCAAAGACAAUGAAAUAUGUUUAGUGAUUCAAAGAGCUUGGAAAUUGCCACCAGCAGUAGUCAUCUAGCUUUCCUUCAAAUCUGGGCUGCAAUGUCAGAAACCACAGAAAUUGCAGGUAUCUUUUGCAUGAAGAAGAAGGCCAUGGGGGAAGACUAAAAAAAUAGUCUUUGCCAGAAAGCUCAAGAGUCUACAUGGAAGCCAGCCGAUGAUGUCCAAACCAAAGGUGAAGACUAAAGCUUCUCCAAAGAAUGGAAUGCAUUCAUCCUUCUUCUUUCCCUUUUAUACCUCCAUGUAAUGAGCCACCCUAGGGUGGGUCUUCUACACCCUCGGGUAUAGAGUUGCUAAACCCAUUUGGUUAAGCUUCUAAAUGUCUCAAAUUGACACAAUCAAUCAAUCACUACAAGGAGCUACCAGGCUGUAGAUACUAAUGAGGCAUUUUAUUUAUUUGUUUGUUUAUUCAUUUAUUGAGGCAAGGUUGACCUUGAUUUCCUUAUGUAGCCUAUGCUGGUCUAGGCACAUGAUAUGAGGUUUAACCCUCACAGUUCUAUUUGGGUUUGUUCACUUUUGUUUUUAUUUUUAUUUUUUGAGUCAGGGUCUUACUAUACAGUUCAGGUUGGCCUAUGUAACCCAGGCUGAUGUCAUAUUCACUGUUGUACUCUAGAAAAAAUAACUUUGUUAUAUUUGUAUCAUACCAAAAUACCUGUAAUGUGGCCAUACUGUAUAUAUGUUUCCCUCCCCACUUCUCCCUCUGGGUGACCUAGUUGAUAUGUUAAUCAAUGCUCUCCUCUGUAAAGAAUUGACUUCCCUAUCCUCUCCUAAGGAAAACAAAGGUUGUUAAUUGCUGCUAGACUCUUCUAUUCUCUGCUGAGGAAAACAGGAUCUUCCCAUUAGCCUAUCUCCUGAUCCACACCCACGCCCAUGACCUUUACUUUGGGAGCUGUGAUAGGUACUGGGAGGGGCGGCAAGUUUAGAGGAAGGACACAGCUUUUGCAGUCUCUAGCUGCACUGUGUUGCUGGGCCCAGGGUAAGAUAAAUCAGCGCUGCUUUUUAAAAUAUGUUUUUGCCUCAUUUUUUAAACUGGAGCUUGGGGGUUCGUUUGUGGAUUACAAGAUUCAUCACAAUCCUCCUACCCCUGCCCCCUGCAUUCUGGGAUUAUAGGCAAGGGCUACCAUACCAGGCUUGGGGUACUCCACUUUUAAAGGCAAGGAGGCAGCUCUGAGAGAUUAUUGAAUUUUCCUAAAACUACACAGUUUGUAAGUUAUGGAGCAGUAAUUUGAAAGGGUUUUGGCGCAGACAGGACACUGUAGCGGGUGAAGCCUUAGAGGCGGAACCAAGGAGCUCCUAUCUCCCCCACCCCUAGGAAUUACUCUGGCGCCAAACAAAGACCAAUGGGCUACCCGUGCAUCCCUAAUGCCCCCAUAGGUUCCACCCCAAACCGAAGCUACUUACAUACCCCCCCCCCCCCCCCCCGCCACGCCACGUGUCGGCCAGAAAGAAAGCCGGAAUCCAGCGGUCGGGGGUGUUUUGGUUUUCUCUCUCCGAGUUCUCAGAAUAAAGGCCUCUUUUGUUUUAUACUUCUCAUCUUUUGGAUAUAAUCUUAUCAGAAUUAAAACCCAGGUCUCCCUGUCAAGGUUUAUGCGUUUUAACUAAAUCACUCACAGGACACAAACCUACCAGUUUUUUGCAAAUGAUGAAAUCUCAGUUCAUGUGCAUAGGAAAGGCCAAAGCAUAAUCUCAGGGUCGUUCUCCACAAUACAACUGUUAAAACCUCCAUGCCUCAUUGCUAGGAGUUUCAUUGGAAAGACCAGGCAUGGUCUGAUGAGCCACAUUAAAAUAGAAGAGAAAGAGGAGUCAGGUGUUGUUAAGAGCUUGCUUAUCAUGUGCUAGGGUCUGGUUCCAGCUCCAGUACUGGGGGGGAAAAAGGUUGCCUGGAGAACCUGCAGGGGACGUUAGAAGGCCACUGAGCUUAUGGCUCAUUUAUUAAUAACACAGUUCUCCAAGGGGCCAAAGGACACUGUGACUAGUGGGGCCCCUUUGUUUGGGAGUAGGGGGCAGGAAUAAAACCAAGUGAAGCUUCCAGAGGAAAAGUGAUAUAUUGCUUUCUUUCCUUUAUUGGAUAAAUGUGUAAUUUUUUGGAAUUAUCUUUCACUCUUCUUCCUAAUACCGUUUCCCAUAAUUAAAAAAAAAAUCUUUAGUUUCCUUA